GAUCCUGGCUCGGGAUGAACGCUAGCGGCAGGCUUAACACAUGCAAGUCGAGGGGCAGCAUAAUGGAUAGCAAUAUCUAUGGUGGCGACCGGCGCACGGGUGCGUAACGCUUAUGCAACCUACCUUUAACAGGGGGAUAACACUGAGAAAUUGGUACUAAUACCCCAUAACAUCAUGAGAGGCAUCUUUUAUGGUUGAAAAUUCCGAUGGUUAGAGAUGGGCAUGCGUUGUAUUAG
rnacentral:rRNA from 1 species